AUGAUGCCAAUGAUCUUCGUGUGCUCA
rnacentral:sRNA from 1 species